rnacentral:rRNA from 1 species
AACGAACGCUGGCGGCGCGCCUAAUACAUGCAAGUCGAGCGAGAAGGUGUAGCAAUACACUUGUAAAGCGGCGAACGGGUGAGGAAUGCAUGGGUAACCUACCCUCGAGUGGGGAAUAACUAGCCGAAAGGUUAGCUAAUACCGCAUACGUUUCCGGAACUUCGGUUUCGGAAAGAAAGCAAUACCGUGGGUAUUGCGCUCCUGGAUGGGCUCAUGUCCUAUCAGCUUGUUGGUGAGGUAACGGCUCACCAAGGCUUCGACGGGUAGCUGGUCUGAGAGGACGAUCAGCCACACUGGCACUGCGACACGGGCCAGACUCCUACGGGAGGCAGCAGUAAGGAAUAUUGCGCAAUGGACGAAAGUCUGACGCAGCGACGCCGCGUGGGGGAUGAAGGUCUUCGGAUUGUAAAGCUCUUUCGUGGGGGAAGAUAAUGACGGUACCCCAAGAAGAAGCCCCGGCUAACUCCGUGCCAGCAGCCGCGGUAAU